rnacentral:rRNA from 1 species
CUCCUACGGGAGGCUGCAGUGAGGAAUAUUGGUCAAUGGACGCAAGUCUGAACCAGCCAUGCCGCGUGAAGGAUGAAGGCCUUCUGGGUUUGUAAACGUUCUUUUAAUGUAGGGAAGAAACCCUAUUUUCCUAAUUAGGGUUGACGGUACCUUAGGAAUAAGCACCGGCUAACUCCGUGCCAGCAGCCGCGGUAAAC